rnacentral:rRNA from 1 species
AGAGUUUGAUCCUGGCUCAGAUUGAACGCUGGCGGCAUGCCUUACACAUGCAAGUCGAACGGCAGCGCGGGGGGUAACUCCUGGCGGCGAGUGGCGAACGGGUGAGUAAUAUAUCGGAACGUGCCCUGGAGUGGGGGAUAACUAGUCGAAAGAUUAGCUAAUACCGCAUACGAUCUACGGAUGAAAGUGGGGGAUUCGCAAGAACCUCAUGCUCGUGGAGCGGCCGAUAUCUGAUUAGCUAGUUGGUAGGGUAAAAGCCUACCAAGGCGACGAUCAGUAGCUGGUUUGAGAGAACGACCAGCCACACUGGGACUGAGACACGGCCCAGACUCCUACGGGAGGCAGCAGUGGGGAAUUUUGGACAAUGGGGGCAACCCUGAUCCAGCAAUGCCGCGUGCGUGAAGAAGGCCUUCGGG